rnacentral:rRNA from 1 species
AUUUUGGACAAUGGGCGCAAGCCUGAUCCAGCAAUGCCGCGUGUGUGACGAAGGCCUUCGGGUUGUAAAGCACUUUUGUUCGGGAAGAAAUCUGUCGGGAUAAUACCUCGACGGGAUGACGGUACCGGAACAAGAAGCACCGGCUAACUACGUGCCAGCAGCCGCGGUAAUACGUAGGGUGCGAGCGUUAAUCGGAAUUACUGGGCGUAAAGCGUGCGCAGGCGGUUUGUUAAGCCAGAUGUGAAAGCCCCGGGCUCAACCUGGGAACUGCGUUUGGUACUGGCAAGCUAGAGUACGGCAGAGGGGGGUGGAAUUCCACGUGUAGCAGUGAAAUGCGUAGAGAUGUGGAGGAACACCGAUGGCGAAGGCAGCCCCCUGGGCCGAUACUGACGCUCAGGCACGAAAGCGUGGGGAGCAAA